AAUGAUUUCUUCAUUGUUUUCAUAUCUGCCCAAAAAUCAAAACUUUACAACAGAAUUCUGUUUUCAAAUCAAAACAUGCAUACAUCGAUUUUCUGUAAUUUCCAUAAGGAAAUAGAAUUAGUGUGGAAAGAAAUGGAGAAUUAGGGAGAAGUGGAAGGUUGGUUGGGGGAGGGAAGACUGUAGUCGAAAGAGGGAAGCAGGAGGCGGCGGCGGCGACCUGGCCACUGCUGCUGCCUGGCAUGGCGGCGGCGACGGCAGCCGUUUCUGCCGGCCGAAGGAAAGAGAGGGCGCCAGAUCUGGAAUAAGGAGGCGGCAGCUUCGGCCUCGCCGAUGGCUGUUCGGCUGAGGAAGAGAGAGAAAGAGGGGCGGCGGCUGGGCUGUGCUGCUGUCGACGCAGAGGCGGCGAUGGCGGUGCUGCUGCUAGCCGGGCGAGCGACAGGGGAGAAGCGUGGUUGUGGCGGUGGCUGGCGGAGGUGUCACCGGAGAAGGGUGGACGCUGCUGUUGGGUGCGGUGGGGGAAGAGUGAGAGAGAGACUAGAGGUGAGGAAAGGAAAGAGGUCGAAGGGAAGGAGAGAGGAGGCGGAGCCGCCGGCCUCCGGGGACGGCGCUGCCGUCCGGUGGCGGCGGCAGGAGGGCACAGAGAGCGAGAGAGAGUGAGCGGCAAAGAGGGAGAAGGGAAAUGGGAGCUGCGUGAGUUUUGUGAGCAAUUAGGGUGAGUGUGAUUAAAUUGGGGUGAAGGGAAGUAUGGGCUUGGGC
rnacentral:lncRNA from 1 species